AAAAGUGUUCGAAUACUAAAAAUUAUUUACGGUAAUGUAUUUGCUAUAAUAAUUAAUGUAUCCGUAAAAAAAUAUCUAUUUAUUUUCCUAAAUUUUUGUUAUUGUUGUUAUUAUUAUUAUAAUUUAAUAAUAUUUAAUUUAUUUACAAACAAUGGGUCUACAACCCCAAGCCCAGUCAGCCCAUCGUUCACUUCCGCUUUUGCACUUCCAUCUCAGAAACAAGCUUCCGUCGCACUGACCUCAAUUCCCCGCCGGGAAACGAAAACCCUGCCGGAAUCCGCAGCCGGAGCUAGUCGCCGGCCUCCCUAA